rnacentral:rRNA from 1 species
GAUGAACGCUGGCGGCGUGCCUAACACAUGCAAGUCGAACGGACUCAUACUGAAACCUAGUGAUUUAUGAGUUAGUGGCGGACGGGUGAGUAACGCGUGGAUAACCUGCCGUAUACCGGGGGAUAACACUUAGAAAUAGGUGCUAAUACCGCAUGAGCGCACAGCUCCGCAUGGGGCGGUGUGAAAAACUCCGGUGGUAUACGAUGGAUCCGCGUCUGAUUAGCCAGUUGGCGGGGUAACGGCCCACCAAAGCGACGAUCAGUAGCCGGCCUGAGAGGGUGAACGGCCACAUUGGGACUGAGACACGGCCCAG